CUCUAUCGACGAGUCUGGUAGCUGAGCGUUGGGCUGUAGGUCGCUGUGCUGUGUGAUCCCCCAGAGCCAUGCCCGAGAUAGUGGAUACCUGUUCGUUGGCCUCUCCGGCUUCCGUCUGCCGGACCAAGCACCUGCACCUGCGCUGCAGCGUCGACUUUACUCGCCGGACGCUGACCGGGACUGCUGCUCUCACGGUCCAGUCUCAGGAGGACAAUCUGCGCAGCCUGGUUUUGGAUACAAAGGACCUUACAAUAGAAAAAGUAGUGAUCAAUGGACAAGAAGUCAAAUAUGCUCUUGGAGAAAGACAAAGUUACAAGGGAUCGCCAAUGGAAAUCUCUCUUCCUAUCGCUUUGAGCAAAAAUCAAGAAAUUGUUAUAGAAAUUUCUUUUGAGACCUCUCCAAAAUCUUCUGCUCUCCAGUGGCUCACUCCUGAACAGACUUCUGGGAAGGAACACCCAUAUCUCUUUAGUCAGUGCCAGGCCAUCCACUGCAGAGCAAUCCUUCCUUGUCAGGACACUCCUUCUGUGAAAUUAACCUAUACUGCAGAGGUGUCUGUCCCUAAAGAACUGGUGGCACUUAUGAGUGCUAUUCGUGAUGGAGAAACACCUGACCCAGAAGACCCAAGCAGGAAAAUAUACAAAUUCAUCCAAAAAGUUCCAAUACCCUGCUACCUGAUUGCUUUAGUUGUUGGAGCUUUAGAAAGCAGGCAAAUUGGCCCAAGAACUUUGGUGUGGUCUGAGAAAGAGCAGGUGGAAAAGUCUGCUUAUGAGUUUUCUGAGACUGAAUCUAUGCUUAAAAUAGCAGAAGAUCUGGGAGGACCGUAUGUAUGGGGACAGUAUGACCUAUUGGUCCUGCCACCAUCCUUCCCUUAUGGUGGCAUGGAGAAUCCUUGCCUUACUUUUGUAACUCCUACUCUACUGGCAGGCGACAAGUCACUCUCCAAUGUCAUUGCACAUGAAAUAUCUCAUAGCUGGACAGGGAAUCUAGUGACCAACAAAACUUGGGAUCACUUUUGGUUAAAUGAGGGACAUACUGUGUACUUGGAACGCCACAUUUGCGGACGAUUGUUUGGUGAAAAGUUCAGACAUUUUAAUGCUCUGGGAGGAUGGGGAGAACUACAGAAUUCGGUAAAGACAUUUGGGGAGACACAUCCUUUCACCAAACUUGUGGUUGAUCUGACAGAUAUAGACCCUGAUGUAGCUUAUUCUUCAGUUCCCUAUGAGAAGGGCUUUGCUUUACUUUUUUACCUUGAACAACUGCUUGGAGGACCAGAGAUUUUCCUAGGAUUCUUAAAAGCUUAUGUUGAGAAGUUUUCCUAUAAGAGCAUAACUACUGAUGACUGGAAGGAUUUCCUGUAUUCCUAUUUUAAAGAUAAGGUUGAUGUUCUCAAUCAAGUUGAUUGGAAUGCCUGGCUCUACUCUCCUGGACUGCCUCCCAUAAAGCCCAACCUUGCUAGAGAUUAUGAGGACCUGAAGUCAUACAAAGGCAGUGGAAAAGAAAGGAGUAACUGAGAGAAGAGACGUUUGGGGGCUAGAAUCUAUUGGCAACUGAUUGGCUGUGUUAUGAUAUGACUCUGACAAAUGCUUGUAUUGCCUUAAGUCAAAGAUGGAUUACUGCCAAAGAAGAUGAUUUAAAUUCAUUCAAUGCCACAGACCUGAAGGAUCUCUCUUCUCAUCAAUUGAAUGAGUUUUUAGCACAGACGCUCCAGAGGGCACCUCUUCCAUUGGGGCACAUAAAGCGAAUGCAAGAGGUGUACAACUUCAAUGCCAUUAACAAUUCUGAAAUACGAUUCAGAUGGCUGCGGCUCUGCAUUCAAUCCAAGUGGGAGGACGCAAUUCCUUUGGCGCUAAAGAUGGCAACUGAACAAGGAAGAAUGAAGUUUACCCGGCCCUUAUUCAAGGAUCUUGCUGCCUUUGACAAAUCCCAUGAUCAAGCUGUCCGAACCUACCAAGAGCACAAAGCAAGCAUGCAUCCCGUGACUGCAAUGCUGGUGGGGAAAGACUUAAAAGUGGAUUAAAGACCUGCGUAUUGAUGAUUUUAGAGAUUUCUCUUUUUUAAAUGGAAUUCGUAAAGAAAUAUAAAACUUCAGCUCACAAUUAAAACUGUCUUUUUAGUUUUGGCUUUUUAUUGUUUUGUUGGUGAUUUUACUGAAAUAAAGUUGAGCUACUUCUUCUUAUAGUGGCAUAUUCUUUGUAAAUUUUAACAAGGUUUAAUCUUUUGAUUUACAAAUUAAAAAAUUUUGAAUUAGCUUUA